rnacentral:rRNA from 1 species
AUGGAUGGAUAUAUAUGCGACGCCUUGCCGCGCGAACUAGAUAUUCCAAUUCGUUCGGGAGCUGGCUUGAUCGCGGAGGGCGGCAUGAAGCAGGCAUUGGUGGCGCUGGCACUGCCGUUGCUCCUCGCCGCGUCGCUGUACGCCUCGACGCCGCCGGACACGGCCGAGGCCUUCGCCGGGGACGUCCGCGUCCGCCUGACCCACGUGGACGCCGGGAAGCAGAUGUCCAGGCGCGAGCUGAUCAGGCGCGCCAUGCAGCGCAGCAAGGCGAGGGCAGCGGCGCUCUCCGUGGCGAGGAGCGGCAGCGGCCGUGUCGCCGGCAAGAGCGCGCAGCAGGAGCAGCCUGGCGUGCCGGUCCGCCCGUCCGGCGACCUCGAGUACCUCAUCGACCUCGCCAUCGGCACGCCGCCGCAGCCCGUGUCGGCGCUGCUGGACACCGGCAGCGACCUCAUCUGGACGCAGUGCGCGCCGUGCGCGAGCUGCCUCGCGCAGCCGGACCCGCUCUUCGCCCCGGCCGCGUCGUCGUCGUACGUUCCCAUGCGCUGCUCCGGCCAGCUCUGCAGCGACAUCCUGCACCACAGCUGCCAGAGGCCCGACACCUGCACCUACCGCUACAACUACGGCGACGGGACGACCACGCUGGGCGUCUACGCCACCGACCACUUCACCUUCGCGUCGUCGUCCGGGGAGAAGCUCAGCGUGCCGCUCGGGUUCGGCUGCGGCACCAUGAACGUCGGCAGCCUGAACAACGGCUCCGGCAUCGUCGGCUUCGGCCGGGACCCGCUCUCGCUCGUGUCGCAGAUGUCCAUCCGGCGCUUCUCCUACUGCCUCACGCCCUACACGAGCACCAGGAAGAGCACGCUCCUGUUCGGGUCCCUCUCCGACGGCGUCUUCGACGCCGACGACGCCGCCACCGGCGCAGUCCAGACCACGAGGCUGCUGCAGAGCCGCCAGAACCCGACCUUCUACUACGUACCGUUCACCGGCGUGACGGUCGGCGCUCGGCGGCUGCGGAUACCGCUCUCGGCGUUCGCCCUGAGGCCCGACGGCUCCGGAGGGGUGAUCGUCGACUCCGGCACGGCGCUCACGCUGUUCCCGGCGGCGGUGCUCGCGGAGGUGCUGAGGGCGUUCCGCGCGCAGCUGAGGCUGCCGUUCGCGAACAGCAGCAGCCCGGACGACGGCGUCUGCUUCGCGACGCCGAUGGCCGCGGGCGGGGGGAGGCGCGCGUCGGCCGCGAGGGCGGUGGUGGCGGUGCCGAGGAUGGUGUUCCACUUCCAGGGCGCGGACCUCGAGCUGCCGCGCCGGAACUACGUGCUGGACGACCCGAGGAGGGGGAGCCUGUGCAUCCUCCUGGCCGACUCCGGGGACUCGGGCUCCACCAUCGGCAACUUCGUGCAGCAGGACAUGCGCGUGCUCUACGAUUUGGAGGCGGAGACCCUGUCGUUCGCUCCGGCGCAGUGCUGA